UACGGAGGGUGCAAGCGUUAUCCGGAUUUACUGGGUUUAAAGGGUGCGUAGGUGGGUCUGUAAGUCAGUGGUGAAAUCUCCGGGCUUAACUCGGAAACUGCCAUUGAUACUAUAGAUCUUGAAUUAUCUGGAGGUGAGCGGAAUAUGUCAUGUAGCGGUGAAAUGCUUAGAUAUGACAUAGAACACCAAUUGCGAAGGCAGCUCACUACGGAUACAUUGACACUGAGGCACGAAAGCGUGGGGAUCAAACAGG
rnacentral:rRNA from 1 species